AUUGAACGCUGGCGGCAGGCCUAACACAUGCAAGUCGAACGGAAGAAGGGAGCUUGCUCCUGGAUUCAGGGGCGGACGGGGGAGUAAUGCCUAGGAAUCUGACAGUUAGUGGGGGAUAACGUCAGGAAACGGGCGCGAAUACCACAAACGUACAGAGGGAGAAAGUGAGAGAGCUGCGGACCUCGGGCUCUCGCCUGAGCCUAGGUCGGAUUAGCUAGUUGGUGGGGUAAAGGCCUACCAAGGCGACGAUCCGUAACUGGUCUGAGAGGAUGAGCAGUCACACUGGAACUGAGACACGGUCCAGACUCCUACGGGAGGCAGCAGUGGGGAAUAUUGGACAAUGGGCGAAAGCCUGAUCCAGCCAUGCCGCGUGUGUGAAGAAGGUCUUCGGAUUGUAAAGCACUUUAAGUGGGGAGGAAGGGCAGUAAGUUAAUACCUUGCUGUUUUGACGUUACCCACAGAAUAAGCACCGGCUAACUUCGUG
rnacentral:rRNA from 1 species